AAUUCGGUUUAAUGUUUCCUUUGGACUGGGAAAGAUCAAGCAAUUUUGCUCAAGCGUCCAACAGGAGACCCUAGUUCCAGACAAAAGAGGAGCUGUGAUAUGUGGCCAGGAUCAGAGCAUAGUGAAAACAACACUGAACGCCAUGCCGGCAGCCUGGGGCUGGAAUCUGGAUGCUCGCUCGGGCUUGAAGCCAUGGGAGGGGCAUCCUGAGGAGAAAGGACCAAGCGGAAGAAUUUGGGGUGUGGAAGGAACCAGGACACCCAACCGAGCUCUCCCGUCUUUCUGCACAUGAGAAGCACCAGUCAGCAGAUGUGGCAGGAUCACCAGGCAGGGGAGCCAGCUCUGAAGUUGAGAGUUAACGAGGCCUGCAUUGGUUCUGACUCUGUAGCUAAGCAGCUGGGAUCAGAGCACAGCUCCCAAGAAACUGCUCAGUGCACCCUGGCAACAAAGCAACUCAGCCCUCCCCAUCCCAGUGUAAUUCAGCUCAACGAGACUCCCAUGCGCUCUGUUAUUCUAAAAGUAGUUAUUGAGUACCAGGGACGAGUCAGCCACCAUGCGCGGAGCUGUGGAAGUAGAAGACGAAGUCCAUGUCCCCAAGGAGACUGGAUUCUUUUGUAGGGACUGAGGUUUCGACACACAUCUGCCACUCUACUGAGCCCAUGAAGGCGGCCGGGAGAGGGGAGAGAGACAAGGCCCUAACCUGUGACCUCACUGGGGAGACAAGGGUCCUGUAUAUGGGACACCAAAGGAUUAGGAAGCUCAUCAUUGACCUUGGUGGCCACAAGUGGAAGUGAACGUGGCCAGGUUCAGGCUGUGUGUGCCUGCACAUGCUCCGGGUGGACCCGACAUGGCUGUUACAUUCCCGGUGUCACGGGAGGACAGAGGGAUUUGACUAGGUGGGCCUGACUGCUAAGUCACCUUGACAAACUGCACCAGCUCUGGCACGAGCGGAGUGGGCUGGGACAUCUACACGGACUCUGCUGUGUCUCGGUUCCUUCUCACCAUUGCCCACCCCCUCUCUGCUCCCUUCUCCCACCUCUCGGAGCAGGGAACCUUCCACAGAAAGCAGCUGGGCUCUAGGCUUGUUGGAAUGCCUGCAUUUAGGAAACAGUGCAAGUUGCAAUAAACACCACACAUCCUUAAGAUCUUUAAACGGUCUUGGAUUCACAAAUCGCUGUAAUGAGGAGAGUAAAAGAUGUCUCUGAGCCCGAAUAUCUGUGUGUGUGGUGGGAAGGGGUGACAGGAGAGCUGAGUCCCAUGCCUGGAUACAGGACUUGGAAUAUCAAUGUUAUGUGCAUGUGUGUGCAUAUGUGUGUGUGUGUGUAUCCACCUGCUGCUGCCUACUGGUGUUUUUUUUUUUUUUUUAAUUUCAACCUUCAGAAAAAUCAUAAGAACAUUGCAAGGAAUUCCUACAUAGCCUCUUCUCAGGAUCAUCCAUUAUUUAUAUUUUGAAAUCCUUUGAGAAAAGGUUGGAAACAUCCCGUCCCUUUUCCCAUAAACACUUGAGCAAGGACGUCAAGAGUGUUCUCGUCUUCUUCAGACGGCACUGGAUCAUCCUACAUGUGAAGUCAUGGCUAUUCAACCACGCUUUUCUGCCUCACGUCGCCACGCUGGUGGCCUGGCCGCUGGGGCUGCCCGGGUCCCAGUGACCCCUCCAGGAAACUCUGCCGGCCCGGGCGGCUGAGCUGGACGCAGUUGCUCUGUCUCCUCAGAGGUCUGGCCAGGCCUUCGCUGAACUCUCCUUCAUCUCCCUGAAGCUCCCGCACAUUUUCCCGCCCACAGGCGUGAACGGCGCAGGAGACCGGCUGUGCGCCGUCCAGCAUGGCGAGGUGGAAGCAGAGGAGAGCGUGCCUGGGCGGCCUCUCUGGGCCCUGGAGAGCUGCCUGGGCUUCCUCUGCACACUCCGCGGGAGGAGCUGGGCCCUACGGUGCGGUCUGGCUCCGAGGCCUGUGGUCCUGCUCGGGACUGGCAGUCUUAGGCCGCGGAACAUUUUCCAGGGUACAGCUAGGGGACAGAACGUCUCUGUGAGACAGGCUGGGCCGGGCAGGCAUUUGGAAAGGCCCCUGCUUGUUCUGGGAGGUGUUCAGGACGCUGAGGCUUUGGAAGUCCAUGGCAGCUCUUCACAACGGCUUCUGGCUCUGGGAGAGGGAACGGACGGGUGCCUGUUUCCUCGGGGCCAGCGGCGGCGCUGAAGCCCAGCACUGCUGACCUGGGAGCUGGGCGAGGAAGCCAGCCAGGAGACCUGGCCCUGCAGGCCUCAGUUCUGCCGUUCCCUCCAGUGGGCCUCGGCACCCGCCCUGACACAAAAACCAACAGGGCCUCUGGGCGGCUCUCAAGGGUGCCUUUGAUGAAGCAGGUAGGAGAACCCCCAGUGAGCCCACGGGCAGAAUGUGCUGGAAGCAUCUGCCAGACCAGUCUCCUGCCCUUCGAGGCCAAGGGCGGGAGGGCUGGGGUGAGGCCUGCCGGGUCAGGGACUCUUGGGCGCGUGCCUUCUGUCCUGCUUUGUGCACCAUCAGCAAGUCCAGGGCCAGUUCCAACUCUGUUUUCCCGUGACCUCGGACGCCUCAGCUGGCCUGCCAGGGCCUGGCUCCUCGUGUGCAAGGGGAAGAGCAGCGCCUGGCCAUCGCCCUCUCGGAAACAGGAUCUGAGGCACGUGUCUUGGGCAAGCCCCUCGGGGUGGCCCGUGCAGCGCAGUCCCCCAACCGGGGAGCAGGCUCCGGGCGCGCAGACCCGGGCCUGUGUUCGGCAGUUUUUCUGGUGUCCAGGAAGGCCCGGCCACGGGGCCACCCCCACGCCCCACCCCCACUGGGAGCCGGGCGCGGGUCCCGAGCGCACCCCCUCUCCAUCCCCGAGCGCCAGGCUCAAUGCGCCGCAUUACCAUUUCCAUGGCGCUCUCCUCCAGGGGCCCCAUGGAAAUCACGAGGCUUUCUGAGGAGCCGCGCAGACUUCAGAAAAGCCCCCGGGCCCCCUGCCCGCCCGGGCUCCCCGGGCCGCUAAUCCGGCGCGCAGGGGCCGGCACAGAGCCCCCAGUCUCCGCGCCGGGCGCGCGCUCUCCCCGGGGCCGCCGUUUCCCUGCGGCCCAGCUGGCUGCAGUUUUCAGGGAUGACAAUGUCCCCGGGGGAGGCGCGCCGCGGUGAAUGGGCGCCUUUGUCCCGGGCCCUGUGAAGCCCGAUUAAUUAUGCGGCGCGCAGCGCGGGGAGCGCCCGCUGAAAGGCCAGGGCUUGGGAGCGCGAUCGCCCGCUCCGCGCCGCCGCACAAAGGGCCGCGAAUUAGAAAACCGGCAAUUACCCCGCAUUUUGUAUUUGCCCUUGUCUCGCUGACACUGGGGACCGCCCCUCCCCGGGCGGCUGCACUUUGAGGAUUUUCAGGCCCUUUCUUGGUAACCAGGAGCGACCAGGCCGGGGGCUGGGGGCUGGGGGGCGCCAAGAGUCCGGUGGGAUCGCGUGCACGGGGGUGGGAGGGGCGGCCCGGGGCGCGGGUGAAGGGGUGUGCGGGUGUCGCCCCUGGGGGAGGUAUGGGGCGCCGCCCGCUUCUUGGCGCUGCAGAGCCGGAGCCUGUCCCGAAUGCUGAUUCCCAGGCCCCGCCGAGGGUAGAGGAGGAGGAGGGGGACUCAGCCUGUCUGGGGUUCCCAGGACCCUGCGUUUCAGCACAGAUAAUUAUAGUUCUAAAAAUUACAGUGUAGUGGGGAAAGGAAAUACACAGGUCUUAAGUGUCACAUCCCGUGAAGACAGAAGCAUUCCAUCACUCCAGACAAUUCUGCGGCACCCCCUCCCCACUGCUGUUCUGAUUUCUGCUCUUGUUCCUGAAGUUCAGGUGUUUCUGAACUUCACCAUCAAUGGAGUCCUACAAUACAAGGCUGCUUCGUGAAGUUCAUGGGCAGUGUAUACUAGGAAAGAAAACUGCAUGAUUUCAAAACUUUUUUCACCAAAUAAACUUAUCUUUUAAUUUUUUUUGUGAACUUCUAGAGGCUCCCUGUUCAGUACUUUUUAAAAGAAUAAUUUUUUUAAAGAUUUAUUUAUUUAUUUGAAAGGCAGAGUUACAGAGAGACACA